GCCAGAUUUACGGGCACGUGUAACCUGAUGAUACAAGAGAUUAUGUUACCAGUCAUUAUAUUAUGUUAGCAGUAUAUACAGACUGCUUUAGUAAUAUAACUUUUUCAGAUAAUGCUGUCUAUGCUCUGCUGCUCGGUACACAUCCAGCAUUUUCUGUGUUGUAUCUGAUAUGUUGCUCUUCUGAGUCCUUGUGUGCAAGUCAAUGAUGUUGCAAUGGAUAAGGUGACCCACUUAGUAUACUAUAUGUAAUAUAUAGGAGAAAAAAAAGUGAUGUGUAU